UACGUAGGGGGCGAGCGUUGUCCGGAGUUACUGGGCGUAAAGGGCAUGCAGGCGGUCGGACGCGUUUCGGGUGACAGCGGGUGGCUUAACUACCCGAGUGGUCGAAAGACGGUUUGACUUGAGGACGCGAGAGGGACACGGAAUUCCGGGUGGAGUGGUGAAAUGCGUAGGGAUCCGGAGGAACACCGACGGCGAAAGCACUCUGCUGGGCCGACACUGACACUGAGAGACGAAAGCUAGGGGAGCGAAUGGG
rnacentral:rRNA from 1 species